GCCCAGGUGGUGGAAUUGGUAGACACGCAAUCUUGAGGGGGUUGUAUCUUUACAGAUGUGCUGGUUCGAGUCCAGUUCUGGGCA
rnacentral:tRNA from 1 species